rnacentral:tRNA from 1 species
GUCGCGGUGCGGGGUGGCGCUCGCGCCGAUCGCGGCGGCGAGCCGGUCCCGCAGUGCCGGCCAGUCGUCCGGGUCGAUCCGUGCCCC